UUGUCGUAUAAUUGUUCUUCUUAUGCUUUUCUGUUUCAUUUCUUACUCUGACAUCACGUCUUAGCAUCUCCUGCUCAACAAUAAUGACCUUUGUUUCAGAAAAAUCAUGAUAUUUUCACAUAACAUGAAAUAACAUCUAAUAGAGUCACUUUACCUCUGUCUACUAAUAUCUAUGUGGCACUAUAGGAAGUCAGAGGAGGGUGGCUAAUACAAUCUGGUGUCGUAUAGAUAAGAUUAUUGGAGGAAAUUACUUAUGAGAUGAAUAUUAAUCAAUGAAGAACUCACGGAAAUGGGCACAGUAAGAGGAAAUCCAAAUGCAACUAGGCUUGAAACAGUGUUAUGUAUCAGAAGCCACAUUGAUUUUAGAGCUUUUCUUUUAAUAUCAAACUAACAGUUAAAGCAAAUUAGUGAAUAGGGACAAAGACGUAUACAGAGAUCUUUUCUAAUACGCUUAGAAUUUUGAUUUUAGCUUCCAGUUGUUUUAAUUGAUUUUGGAAUGUUAUAAUCUACCUUUUAGUUUACCAGUAGUUGUGUGAGGGAAGCAUUAAGGCUCACAGGACAUUAGAAAGAUUUGGUAUGCAUAGGUAAAUGCUGUUCAGUUGUUUUUUUUUUUUUUUUCAGUGAAUGCAUUGUUGGGGAGUCGAAUUUGAUGCCAGUUUCCAGCUGCAUUGUUUUGUGAAGAUGCCAUAGCAUUCAAUCCACAAUGCUGUUCUUUCUGGGCAACCUUUGGGUCAUGGCUGAGGGCAUGGUUCACUAAGAACUAGCCAUUUCUGCAUAUGUUAGAUUCCUCCUGGUACAAUCUUUGUUCCAAAUUUCCCCAUUACAUUGGUCAAGAUCAUUGUCAGAUCUGCACAGCUGUCAGAACGCUCGGCUUCAUUUCUAUUUUUUUCAUCAUCCCUUUCCCAGGGGGCAGCCUGUAGUGAAGAAUUAAGAACUAAUCUAUUCAGUCCUGCUUCCCUGACCUGCCUUUAUCUUUCAUAGGAAUUAUUCUCCCAGAAGAAAUUUGCAUUACCAACUUCUUUCAAGAAUCUAAAUUCAUAGGCUUCAAAUUGAUACAGAAGGAAAAUGCACUGGGAGAUACUACACUGCAGUAUAGUGGAGUGGAAUAAUGAAGAUCUUAAACAGAAUAUGAGAAUACUCAGAAUAUGAGGAGACAUUGUGACAAAGUAAGCUUAAAAAGUCAAAUAAUGAUUAUAAUGAUAUUUUAAAAUAUCAUUAAGUUUAACAUUUAACACUAUCAAUAACACUGUAAAAUAGUGUGUCACCCGUUUCAGGAAUGUAUGAGAACACAUAUAUGUGCACAAAAAUAUAUACAAACUUAUUUACUCUUCUUGAAAAUCUUUGAUACUAAGAGUACCCACUUUUGUAGGUUAAAGAAACAAAUGCAUCAAGGGAAAAUACUUUAAAUACAAAUAAGGAAGCAGAAGUAGAAUUUUAAUUCAGAGUUUCUUUUCUGAAGCUUGGUUUUUAACCAUUACAUUGGCAUAUUAGUCUCAACUUCACAUAGCUUUCAAUUAAAAAAGAAAGGAAAAUUUAUCAUGGAUUAUUAGCAUACUUGUUUUCCCUACAACUGACACAAACAUGUUGUUUCAUGUGUAUCACAUUUGGGCUUAUUGUUUUUCAAAAAGAUGAAGAAAUAAAGAAGGAAGUUUACUAUGAGAUUCUGGAGAGACUUCCACAGAGUUGAUAUCUUAAUUUUAGACUUGUUAACAAGAUGAAAUUUCAGACAAUUCUUUUAACUGGGUGUUCAAAUACUGAAACCAUGCAAGGAAAACAUUUAUUUUGGCUGGCACCAUGGCUCAAUAGGCUAAACUUCCACCUGUGGCGCAGGUACCUCAGGUUCUAGUCCCGGUCAGGGCACCAGAUUCUGUCCCAGUUGCUCCUCUUCCAGUCCAGCUCUCUGCUGUGGCCCAGGAAAGCAAUGGAGGAUGGCCCAAGUGCCUGGGCCCUGCACCCUCAUGGGAGACCAGGAAGAAGCACCUGGCUCCUGGCUUCGGAUCAGUGCAGUGUGCAGGCCGCAAUGUGCCGGCCUUAGCGGCCACUUGGGGGAUGAACCAACGGAAAAAGGAAGACCUUUCUCUCUGUCUCUCUCUCUUACUGUCUAACUCUGCCUGUCAAAAAAAUAAAUAAUAAUAAUAAUAAUAAAAGAAAAACAUUUAUUUUGAUAUUUUAAAAAUAAUGUCAAACAUUUCUCUUACUGCUAUAAUAAUAAAGUAAGAAUUUUCUAUAAUAUAUUUACGGUAUGAUCUAAAAAAUGCAAAGAAAACAUAUCUGGUAUCAAGAUAACCAACACCACAUGGUGUGAAGAACAUUGAGUAGAUGGAGUGUACAGUAUUGAAGAUGAUACGUUUGAGUAUUUUAUAGUGGAAGAAGGAUACUGUUGAUGGCUAAGAAGAAACAUUGCAUCACAGCUGUACUUCUUGACCAGAAAUGUGAGGAUGACAGUAAACAGUUUCAAACUAGCCUCAAAAAAGAAAUCUCCUUGAAGCACACCAGCAUCUGGUUGUUCAAAUCAAUGACCUGUAAGCUAUAUUUGACUCUUCCUCUCUUCUUUGUCCAUUCAAAUAAAUUACGAUAUUUAACACUUUGUUGCCUUUCAUGUCUUCUGCCAGCACUCAGGACUCUAUUCUUGUCAGCGCCUGAAAUAUUAUCUCUUUGUAUAUGAGGGUAUUUUAAAAAGUUUAUGGAAAAUGCAUAUUAUAAUAAAACCAUGCCUAGUGUCAGAUAUUUUUGCAUCCAAUCUUUUAAUUCUAUUUUCUAUGAAUUUUAGACCAUUUUAUAGAAUAAAUCUAGGGGCAAGUAUUUACUAUAGAGGUUAAAACAGAGCUUGACAUCUGGACCCCAUAUCAGAGUAUCCAGAUUCUCUCUUUUUUUUUUUUUUUUUAAGAUUUAUUUAUUUAUUUGAAAGGCAGAGAUACAAAGAGGGAAGGGGAUGGAGGGAGUGAGACAGGGAGAACCCAGGAGCAGAAGCUUCUUCCUGGUGUCCCACACAGGUGCAGGGACCCAAGUACUUGGGCCAUCUUCUCUUGCCUUCCCAGGCACAUUAGAGGGAGCUAGAUUGGAAUAGAGCAGCUGGGACUCAAAAUGGAGUCUACAGGGGAUACUGGCACUACAGGGGAAGGCUUAAGCUUCUACAUCACUGUGCUGCCUACCCCUCACUCCCCGAUUCUUUACAUGACUUUGACUCCAACUGCUGACUCCAGCUUCCUCCUAAUGCAGACACUAGAAGGCAGUAAUGUUAGCUCAGGUA